rnacentral:rRNA from 1 species
CGAAGGGGGCUAGCGUUGCUCGGAAUUACUGGGCGUAAAGGGCGCGUAGGCGGCCAUAUAAGUCAGGCGUGAAAUUCCUGGGCUUAACCUGGGGGCUGCGCUUGAGACUGUGUGGCUUGAGGUCAGAAGAGGCUCGUGGAAUUCCCAGUGUAGAGGUGAAAUUCGUAGAUAUUGGGAAGAACACCGGUGGCGAAGGCGGCGAGCUGGUCUGAUACUGACGCUGAGGCGCGACAGCGUGGGGAGCAAACAGGAUUAGAUACCCUGGUAGUCCACGCCGUAAACGAUGUGCGCUGGAUGUUGGGGCUCUUAGAGCCUCAGUGUCGUAGCCAACGCGGUAAGCGCACCGCCUGGGGAGUACGGCCGCAAGGUUG